GUUAAGUGGGUUUAUUCAAAGUGCUCUUCCAUUAAUGUCUGUUUUUUAGUAAUUGAAGUUUUAGUAUGCAGUUAUAAGCUAAUUGGCUUUUAAUACGCUUAUGAACCCCCGACUUUAUAAAAAAUUGUACGCGAUUUUUAUGUUCAGUAGAAAUCGCCGUAAUAUUAGUCAUGGAGAACACCGUUGGGCUAGCUGCAACGUUGAUAAUCAAUCAGUCAUC